GAAAUCUGAAGAAAGAAGAAUUAUGUCAGUCGUAUCGGCGGGAGAAAUUGACUCGACUUUGUAACGUCAGUCAGUCUUUUUCUCUCUCCUAUAUGGUCGAUAUAAAAUAUC
rnacentral:pre_miRNA from 1 species